CCCUAAUCCAAACAGAACUGGUGUCUUUAUAAGAAAAGGAAGAGAUACCCUAACUCUCUCCCCAUCUUGUGAGCACACAGCCAGAAGGUGGCCAUCUGCAAGACAGGAAGGGUGCUCUCACCAGAGCCUGACCAUGCUGGACCUUGACCUUGGGCCUUCAGCCUCCAGAACUGUCAUGCAGAAGGAUAUGUCCUGUGCAAGGCUGCCACCCAGUUGAGACUUCCCCCUGGACUUGGAGGGAAAAGGAUUGGGUGAAUUAUAAUGACUGCACCCUGUGGCAUGUGAGAUCUGAGUUCCCUGACCUGGGAUCAAACUUGUGGAGUUCCACUACAGUUCCCUAUAGUGGAAGUGUGGAGUCUCAACCACUGAAUCGCCAAGGUAAUCCUUUUUUUCUUCCAACUUGCUCACUUCUGUUUAGGCCAGAGGUUCUUGCCCUGGCUACAUCCAAUCACCCAAGGGACUUCAAAAAUUCUGAUGCUCAGGCCUAGCCACAUCCUCCUGCUUCGCCCCUCAACUCACGCCUUCUCUCCAGGAUUAUGACUUGCAAGGCUGGGGACACUGGGGAGAAGGAACUGGACUUCAUCGUGCUCCCCUCCCUCUCUGCUCCUCAGUCUCUGCCAGCCUGCGGAGAGCAGGUGUCCCAUCGGUCUCGCCCAUCUGGGGAGGCUGCCGCUUUCCGGCACAGCUGGGUGGGUGCACUUAAUUCUAGGGUGUAGAGGGAGGAUGUGCCCUUGGCUGGCUGACAGGGAGCCACCUCCUCCAAACAGGCCUGGCAGUAAGAAAGCUGCUGUUCUGACCUCCAUCUCUCUUACUCCAGCACCUACCUUUCAGCUGGCUCUGUAUACUUUCUCAGGAAGCUGCUGGAAGAUGUGGUCCACGAAGGGGAGGGAGGAACCUGAAUAGCCAAGAACGAGGAAGAGGAAGUCCCAGGAAGGCGGGCUUAGAGGAGCAAAGGGAAUUUCCAGGGUGGUGGUGAGGGGAAGUCCAAGGACAAAUUUAUGGCACCUGCCGGCAGAGGGGAACGAAGUUUAGCCACAAUCAGUGAGCCUGGGUUCCAGGAAGGAGCCUCUUGGAGACAAAAAUGGAACCAACUGAUUAUCAGCUGGGAAGAAGGAAAGUUAAGGGAUGAGGGGAAAAAGUACAGAUAUGAAUAAAACAAAGGAAAUCCAAAAUAUAAGGCAACUAUCUUUAAAAAGGGA
ensembl:lncRNA